rnacentral:tRNA from 1 species
GCGGGCGUGGCGGAACUGGCAGACGCGUCGGGUUUAGGUCCCGGUGGGUAGCACCCGUGGGGGUUCGAGUCCCCCCGCCCGCA